ensembl:lncRNA
UCCCAAGGAGAAAGGCUCUCUAGCUGGAGAGCCUUCCUUUUGGAUCCCUUUCACAAGCCCAGGACACAGUUCCUUUUGUGUGCCACAGAAGCCAAGAAUCUCUCCCACAAUCCUCUGAAAAAGAUAAUAUAUAUCCUCAGUGUACUGCUGAAGAAAAACCCAGAAUCCACCCUGCAAAGCCUGUAGCUCCCCACAGGGUUGCUCUGAGCUCAGUGGAAGGCAGUGGUUUGGGAAGAGGAGAAAGAAAACGAGGAGAGUUCUGAUUGACAAAGCUCUGAGAGGUCUUCCAAAUCACUUUUUCUUCUAGUUUUCAGUGCUCAUUUGUUUUAAACAUUGACCAGAGAUCUAGAGUGCAAAACCAGCUGUACUUAUUUCAGUUUGCAAUGUUUGGUUACAUUUGAAUUCUUUGUACUGAAACCUACUCAUCUGUCAAACAUACAGGGGGUUGGUUGGUUUGUUUGUUUUGUUUUUUUUCCAAAGUGGAUAGCCUCACCCUAACAAAAUACUACUUGUGUGGGUCGGUGAGUUUGGUCACCUGGGUACAUACUACUACUGAGUCCUUGUUCCUGAGAAUCCAAUGGAGCCAUUUAUGCAAGGAAGGACUAUUUGCAACUACUUUUCAGGAUGCAGCUGCAUUGUGAAAAGUUUUGUAUAGUCUACAAAAAUAGUAUGGCAUGUAAUCUUAAAGGCCU